CGUUUCCAAACCGAAAAAAAUAAUUUUGCUGCCUUCUAAGAUAUCUUAGAUUUCAUAAAUAACGGUCAUUUUUGAAGUCAGCAUCGAUGCUCACUUCAUGCUCCCUACUACCCAUAAUCCUCCGCGGCCGGCUGUGAAUUUGUCAAAUUAAAAGAAUAAAGAUUGCUGACCAGGUCGAGAAGUCCGACUUUGUGUACAAAUGGACAUCCGAUGACACUGCCAGGUUCAUCCAGGCAAGGGGGGAGGCAGAUCGGCUCUUCACAGGCCAGAGGAACAGUGCCAUGGAUGGCUGGAAACAGGUCCUCAGGUCUGUUGGCCUGAAGGAGAAGGUGACCCCACAACAGGCCCGUAAAAAGUGGGACAACCUUAAAAAAAAUACAAGGAAAUGAAAAACCCCCCAACAGGAACAGGGACAGAUGCUGGGGAGGACACAGCAGCCUCGUGGCCAUGGUUCUGUGCCAUGGAUGAGAUUCUGGGGCAGAGGCACUCUAUCUCCCCACCAGUGAUCCGUGCCUCCAUGUCCCCGAUCUCAUCCAGGGAAGCAGAGCCCCCCCAGAAAAGAAGCAGCUUUGCUGCUUUCUUGAGGGAGCAAUUUGAGAGAGAGGAGCAAAUGGAGAAGGAGAGGCAGAGGGCAGCCGACGAGCGCUUUGCCCGUCUGUUAGCGGUGUUGGAGAGAAUGGCAGACAAAUAAAAAAAUAUUUUUUUA